AUUUUCCCUUUCUGCGUCUCUCACCUGGAGUCGGUAGGUCGGUGCCACUGCCUCUCCGUCAGGUUUGUAUCUGUUUGUUUUAUAACUGCGGCGUCUGCUACCAGAUAAAUCUGUCUACCGAAGCGGAGAAGUUGCCUAGUGUUUUUUCUUUGCGCUGGGAUUUGAGCUCAUAGGUCUAAACCCACUUUGUUGACUACCAGGAUACACUUUUGGUCAAUAUCAAAUCAAACCGAUCACUUUCUUGGAAAUUUAAAGCAGCCCUGCUUUGUUGGUGUCAUACCUCUAAACCUUUUCCUUCCUAGUCAGUGCUUAUCCCUUGUAACAAUGGGAACACCAGAGACUUCUCGUGAACCUUGCCCUGACCGUAUACUUGAUGAUGUUGGCGGAGCAUUUGGCAUGGGUGCUGUUGGAGGUUCAGCCUUCCACUUCUUAAAAGGCAUAUACAACUCACCAAAAGGUGAGCGCUUGAUUGGCGGUUCACAGGCAGUGCGCAUGAAUGCUCCUCGUAUUGGUGGUAGUUUUGCUGUGUGGGGUGGGCUUUUCUCCUCAUUUGAUUGUACAAUGGUUUAUCUCCGGCAGAAAGAAGAUCCUUGGAACUCUAUUAUUGCUGGUGCAGCAACUGGUGGCUUUCUACAGAUGCGGCAGGGACUGGGUGCUGCUUCUAGAUCAGCACUGUUUGGUGGAGUUUUACUUGCGUUGAUAGAGGGAGCUGGAAUUAUGUUAAAUAAAGUC
rnacentral:misc_RNA from 1 species